GGCGGGAGAUCCGAGCGUCUCGGAUGGUGGAAGGGAUGAGGAGCUUUGCGGUUAUGUGCGAAUGUGUACAGGGACAGAGUCCUGAGCAAGGAAACCUAGAAGGGAGAGAGGAAUAACCAUGGAAUUGAGUCCUGUCUGGCAGCACUGACAGACACAGUGGCCAGCCACCCUCAUGCCACCCUGUCCUGCCAUGGGAAGGAACAGCAGCUCUACAGUUCCGAUGGGAACUCUCUUUCCUUCUCACUGAACUCUAGCUUCAUCAAUAACUCAGUGCCUCUGGGACAACAUCCACUAUAUCCAUAUGAGGCACUCAUGUAACACCAUGAUUAAGAGUACAGAUGCUGCAGCAGCAGCCUAAGUCUGAAUCCUGACUGCCAAUUAUUAAUAUAAGUUGUGGAACCAUGGUCAAGUUACUCAACCUCUUUAUGCCUCUGUCUCCUGGUCUAUGAAAUGAAGCUUUGAAUCUGCUGUUAUUAAGUUGCUGGUGCUGAAAUAACACUUAUUAUUUAUGGUCUAACUGAAAUGGAAACACUGGAAACUUGUUUGAAACUGAAGAAAAAAAUGAAAAAGAAGUUUUUACAAUCAAAACUGCCAUGAAGACUGCUUUACCCAAAAUUUUGGUCCACAGCUUUCAUUGAAUUACUUAUCAGGGCAAACAAAGUUUAGCCAUGUGAACAGGUUCCAAUUUUGUUAGAAAUAAUUUGGAUCCAGCUAUCUUUAUACAAUGGUGAGUUUGUAUUGCACCUCAUGGCUAAAAUUCUGAGGUAAAGGCUUUUGGAUCUUUGUGUCUGUGUGUGUGUGCAUGUGACAAAAACAAGCAAUGGGGAAUCCGGAGUCCCUAUUUAAUAAAUGGUGUUGGGAGAACUGGCUAGCCAUAUGCAGAAAGUUGAAACUGUAGCCCCUCCUUAUACCAUAUACAAAAAUCAACUCAAGAUGAAUUAAAGACUUAAAUGUAAAAACCCAAACUAUAAAAACCCUAGAAUAAAAUCUAGGUAAUAACAUUCAGGACAUGGGCACAGGCAAAUAUUUUAUGACAAAGAUGACAAAAGCAGUAGCAACAAAAGCAAAAAUUGACAAAUGGAAUCUAAUUAAACUAAAGAGCUUCUGUACAGCAAAGAAACUAUCAUCAGAGUGAACAGACAACCUACAGCAUGGGAGAAAAUUUUUGCAAUAUAUCCAUCUGACAAAGGUCUAAUAUCCAGCAUCUACAAGGAACUUAAACAAAUUUACAAGAAAAAAAAAACAAUGCCAUUAAAAAAUGGGCAAAGGACAUGGACAAACACUUCUCAAAAGAAGACAUUUAUGUGGGCAAUGAACAUUUUUUAAAAAAAGCUCAACACCACUGAUCAUUAGAGAAAUGCACAUGAAAACCACAAUGAGAUACCAUCUCACACCAGUCAGAAUGGCUAUUACUUAAAGGUCAAAAAACAACAGAUGAUAGCAAGGUUGUGAAGAAAAAUGAACGCUUUUAUACUGUUGGUUGGAGUAUAAAUUAGUUCUACCCUUGUCGAAGACAGUGUGGUGAUUCCUCAAAGACCUAGGGGAAGAAAUAUCAUUUGACCUAGCAAUCUCAUUACUGGGUAUAUACCCAGAGGAAUAUAAAUCAUUCUAUUAUAAAGAUACAUGUGCAUGUUCAUUGCAAAAUAGCAAAAACAUGGAAUCAACCUAAAUGCCCAUCAAUGACAGACUUGAUAAAGGAAAUAUGGUAUGUAUACACCAAGGAAUACCACGCAGCCAUAAAAAGGAACAAGAUCAUGUCUUUUGCAGGGACCUGGAUGGAACCAGAAGCCAUUAUCCUCAGCAAAUUAAUGCAGAAACAGAAAAGCAAAUACCACAUGUUCUCACUUAUAAGUGGAAGCUGAAUGAUAAGAACACAUGGACACAUGGUGGGGAACAAUACACACUGGGGCCUGUUGCAGGGUGCAGAGUGGGAGGGAGAGCAUCGGGAAGAAUAGCUAAUGCAUGCUGGGUUUAAUACCUAGGGGAUGGAAUGAUCUGUGCAGCAAACCACUAUGGCACACAUUUACCUAUGUAACAAACCUACACAUCCUGCACAUGUACCCCUGACCUUAAAAUAAAAGUUGGAAAUAAAAAAAACCCCGAAACAUAUACCUAC
rnacentral:antisense_RNA from 1 species